CAAAGCAAAUAUGAUUUUCUUCUUAUGGAAACUCUGCCAGUUGCACAUUAAGAAAGUGACAGGUCAUCAUAGCAAACGGAGUUGAUUUCACUUACACUGAUACUACUUAGACCAAGGCUUAAAAAUAUGUUUAGUGCACAGGAGCACAAGAUCUCUUGAAAUUUAUGCAAGACUCUGCACCUUGCUGUGAUUGAUUUUACAAAGAGCUUUAAAUAAUAUCUACUGGCUCGUUCAUUUUUGAACCACAGUGCACCAAUAUUCAGCAAAGAUGGUCCAAGACUGCAGGCAUCUUCUAGAACCAUAUGCCCAUCACACCCAGCCCUUCUCUCCUGAGCUGAUCUUUAGUGUCUGCGGUAGAGUGGGCUGAUCCUGCAACCACUGCUCCAACACGGUACAGUGACUGCACCAUAUAAUCCAGUGCUGCCAAUCAGAUCUGAACAAAAGAAAUAGCAGUUGUCUGACUGUGAAUCAUUUCUUCACCUUGAUUAAUCUUGUUUUAUUACAGUUCAAAAGAAGGAAACACCUGAUUCUGAGGCAGAGUGGUGAAUGUGGGAGCUUCAUACCAAUAAGCAGAAAAGCAGGGAGAUGCAAAGCGGCUCAUGGGAGUAGAACAUAACCAUGGAACUGGGAUCUCAAACAGAGGGCAGAUGACUGACAGGAGACCUCACAAGGUGGAUGUUUCCAUGGGAGGGUUUGUGUGGAGUGUCAGUGUUUGAGGGAUUUCAGUGUAAUACCUAUAUAUGCAGAACAGAAGUCAAUGAGAUAAGUAAAGAGGCCCAAAGUGUAUCUUGAAGGCAGUAUUUAAAAUGUCCUUUAAAAGGGUUGUCCUUGUACAUGUGGUUUAUACAACAGCAUGAUAGAUUAUCCUUCCCCAGGAGAAAAGACAAAAGGUAUUGAACAGUCUUCUGGUUAGUCUGCAUGAAGAUAGCACAGCUGCUUCUACAGCUAUGAUACACCUGGCUGUACUAUAACACAUACAGUACUCCAGUAAAAACUGCCUGCCUUAGGAAUAGCUAGAGAAUUUGUCUUAUAAGAUUAAUGCUUUCCUGUCAAUAUUUAGGUAGAUUUCUUUGUGUCUUUGUUUAGCACAUGUGAAAAAAUGUUGUUCACAGUGGGUUUUUGACUCUUGAA